rnacentral:misc_RNA from 1 species
AAAGUCGUAACAAGGUAACCGUAGGUGAACCUGCGGUUGGAUCAUUACCAAUCCUGGGCUCGCAAGAGUCCUUCAACCCCAUGUGCACUUAAUAUUGUUUCUGGGUGUCGUCUAGGCACCCAAACUUAUAAACCUUACCAUAUGUCUGUUAUUAUUAUAUAAUAAAAACAACUUUUGACAACGGAUCUCUUGGCUCUC